AGGCAGCCCCUUGGGAAAAUACUGACGCUCAUGUGCGAAAGCGUGGGGAGCAAACAGGAUUAGAUACCCUGGUAGUCUACGCUGUAAACGCUGUCGAUUUGGGGAUUGGGCUUUAUGUUUGGUGCCCGUAGCUAACGUGAUAAAUCGACCGCCUGGGGAGUACGGCCGCAAGGUUAAAACUCAAAUGAAUUGACGGGGGCCCGCACAAGCGGUGGAGCAUGUGGUUUAAUUCGAUGCAACGCGAAGAACCUUACCUACUCUUGACAUCCUAAGAAGCUUUCAGAGAUGAGAGUGUGCCUUCGGGAACUUAGAGACAGGUGCUGCAUGGCUGUCGUCAGCUCGUGUUGUGAAAUGUUGGGUUAAGUCCCG
rnacentral:rRNA from 1 species